GGUGAAGUGGCAGAGUCUGGCUUAUUGCAGUAGUCUUGAAAACUACCGUCUCAUAGUGAUAUGGGGCCCUGGGUUCAAAUCCCAGUUUCACCU
rnacentral:tRNA from 1 species